UACGAAGGGGGCUAGCGUUGCUCGGAAUCACUGGGCGUAAAGCGCACGUAGGCGGAUUGCUAAGUCAGGGGUGAAAUCCUGGAGCUCAACUCCAGAACUGCCUUUGAUACUGGCAACCUUGAGUCCGGGAGAGGUGAGUGGAACUGCGAGUGUAGAGGUGAAAUUCGUAGAUAUUCGCAAGAACACCAGUGGCGAAGGCGGCUCACUGGCCCGGUACUGACGCUGAGGUGCGAAAGCGUGGGGAGCGAACAGG
rnacentral:rRNA from 1 species